rnacentral:rRNA from 1 species
UACGAAGGGGACUAGCGUUGUUCGGAAUCAUUGGGCGUAAAGCGCACGUAGGCGGCUUCGCAAGUCGGAUGUGAAAUCCCAUGGCUCAACCAUGGACGUGCAUUCGAAACUGCGAAGCUUGAGUAUGGAAGAGGGUCGCGGAAUUCCCGGUGUAGAGGUGAAAUUCGUAGAUAUCGGGAGGAACACCAGUGGCGAAGGCGGCGACCUGGGCCAAUACUGACGCUGAGGUGCGAAAGCGUGGGGAGCAAACAGG